UAGGGAAUAUUGGACAAUGGGUGCGAGCCUGAUCCAGCCAUGCCGCGUGCAGGAAGACGGCCUUCUGGGUUGUAAACUGCUUUUGCCAGGGGAUAAAACGUCCAUGCGUGGAUAAUUGAAGGUACCUGGUGAAUAAGCCACGGCUAACUACGUGCCAGCAGCCGCGGUAAUACGUAGGUGGCAAGCGUUGUCCGGAUUUAUGGGUUUAAAGGGUGCGUAGGUGGUCUUGUAAGUCAGUGGUGAAAUACGGCAGCUUAACUGUCGAGGUGCCAUUGAUACUGCAAGACUUGAGUACAGACGAGGUAGGCGGAAUUGACGGUGUAGCGGUGAAAUGCUUAGAUAUCGUCAAGAACACCGAUAGCGAAGGCAGCUUACUAGACUGUAACUGACACUGAGGCACGAAAGUGUGGGGGAUCAAACAGGAUUAGGAUACCCUGGUAGUCACACUGUAAACGAUGAUUACUCGAUGUUGGCGAUAC
rnacentral:rRNA from 1 species